AGUGUAGGCGGCUAUUUAAGUCGGAUGUGAAAGCCCUGGGCUCAACCUGGGAAUUGCAUUCGAAACUGGGUAGCUAGAGUUUGGUAGAGGUAAGUGGAAUUCCGGGUGUAGCGGUGAAAUGCGUAGAUAUCCGGAGGAACAUCAGUGGCGAAGGCGGCUUACUGGACCAAAACUGACGCUAAGGCUCGAAAGCGUGGGGAGCAAACAGGAUUAGAUACCCUGGUAGUCC
rnacentral:rRNA from 1 species